CCUACGGGGGGCAGCAGUAGGGAAUAUUGCUCAAUGGGGGAAACCCUGAAGCAGCAACGCCGCGUGGAGGAUGAAGGUUUUCGGAUUGUAAACUCCUUUUGUUAGAGAAGAUAAUGACGGUAUCUAACGAAUAAGCACCGGCUAACUCCGUGCCAGCAGCCGCGGUAAUACGGAGGGUGCCAGCGUUACUCGGAAUCACUGGGCGUAAAGAGCGCGUAGGCGGGAUAGCAAGUCAGAUGUGAAAUCCUAGGGCUUAACCAUAGAACUGCAUUUGAAACUGUUAGUCUAGAGUAUGGGAGAGGUAGGUGGAAUUCUUGGUGUAGGGGUAAAAUCCGUAGAGAUCAAGAAGAAUACUCAUUGCGAAGGCGACCUGCUAGAACAUAACUGACGCUGAUGCGCGAAAGCGUGGGGAGCAAACAGGAUUAGAUACCCGGGUAGUC
rnacentral:rRNA from 1 species